GAUGAACGCUGGCGGUAUGCUUAACACAUGCAAGUCGAACGGUCUCUUCGGAGAUAGUGGCGGACGGGUGAGUAACGCGUGAGAAUCUGGCUCCAGGUCUGGGACAACCACUGGAAACGGUGGCUAAUACCGGGUGUGCCGAAAGGUGAAAGGUUAACUGCCUGGAGAUGAGCUCGCGUCUGAUUAGCUAGUUGGUAGGGUAAGAGCUUACCAAGGCGACGAUCAGUAGCUGGUCUGAGAGGACGAUCAGCCACACUGGGACUGAGACAC
rnacentral:rRNA from 1 species